rnacentral:rRNA from 1 species
GACGAACGCUGGCGGCGUGCCUAAUACAUGCAAGUAGAACGCACGGUUUAUACCGUAGCUUGCUACACCAUAGACUGUGAGUUGCGAACGGGUGAGUAACGCGUAGGUAACCUGCCUGGUAGCGGGGGAUAACUAUUGGAAACGAUAGCUAAUACCGCAUAAUAUUAAUUAUUGCAUGAUAAUUAAUUGAAAGGUGCAAUUGCACCACUACCAGAUGGACCUGCGUUGUAUUAGCUAGUAGGUGAGGUAACGGCUCACCUAAGCGACGAUACAUAGCCGACCUGAGAGGGUGAUCGGCCACACUGGGACUGAGACACGGCCCAGACUCCUACGGGAGGCAGCAGUAGGGAAUCUUCGGCAAUGGACGAAAGUCUGACCGAGCAACGCCGCGUGAGUGAAGAAGGUUUUCGGAUCGUAAAGCUCUGUUGUAAGAGAAGAACGGGUGUGAGAGUGGAAAGUUCACACUGUGACGGUAUCUUACCAGAAAGGGACGGCUAACUACGUG